AGUGAACGCUGGCGGUAGGCCUAACACAUGCAAGUCGAACGGCAGCACAGUAAGAGCUUGCUCUUACGGGUGGCGAGUGGCGGACGGGUGAGGAAUACAUCGGAAUCUACUUUUUCGUGGGGGAUUACGUAGGGACACUUCCGAUAAUACCGCAUACGAUCUACGGGUGAAAGCAGGGGUUCUUCGGACCUUGCGCGAUUGAUUGAGCCGAUGUCGGAUUAGCUAGUUGGCGGGGUAAAGUCACACCAUGGCGACGAUCCGUAGCUGGUCUGAGAGGAUGAUCGGCCACACUGGAACUGAGACACGGUCCAGACUCCUACGGGAGGCAGCAGUGGGGAAUAUUCGACAAGGGGCGCAAGCCUGAUCCAGCCAUACCGGGGGGGUGAAGAAGGCCUUCGGGUUGUAAAGCCCGUUUGUUGGGAAAGAAAAGCAGCAGGUUAAUACCCCGCUGUUCUGACGGAACCCAAAGAAUAAACACCGGCAAACUUCGU
rnacentral:rRNA from 1 species